rnacentral:rRNA from 1 species
AAUAAGCACCGGCAAACUUCGUGCCAGCAGCCGCGGUAAUACGAAGGGUGCAAGCGUUAAUCGGAAUUACUGGGCGUAAAGCGCGCGUAGGUGGUUUGGUAAGCGAUAUGUGAAAUCCCCGGGCUUAACCUGGGAACUGCAUGUCGAACUGCCAGGCUAGAGUAUAGUAGAGGAGUGUGGAAUUUCCUGUGUAGCGGUGAAAUGCGUAGAUAUAGGAAGGAACAUCAGUGGUCGACGCGGC